UCCGGCUUAACGCCGGCAGUCCCCCUAGAGUCCCCAGCUUAACCUGUUGGCAACUAAAAAUAAGGGUUGCGCUCGUUGCGGGACUUAACCCAACACCUCACGGCACGAGCUGACGACAGCCAUGCAGCACCUAGUUUCGCGCCCUUGCGGGAAGCUCCCUUUCAGGAGCGGUCGCUAACUUUCAAGCCCUGGUAAGGUUCCUCGCGUAUCAUCGAAUUAAACCACAUGCUCCUCCGCUUGUGCGGGCCCCCGUCAAUUCCUUUGAGUUUCACCGUUGCCGGCGUACUCCCCAGGUGGAUUACUUAUCGCUUUCGCUAAGCCACUAAAAGUUGCCCUCUAGCAGCGAGUAAUCAUCGUUUACAGUGCGGACUAC
rnacentral:misc_RNA from 1 species